UAUCUGGUUGAUCCUGCCUGAACUGAUGUGUUCAUUUCAAAGAUUAAGCCAUGCAUGUAUAAGUUUAAUCGUUUUUACGAGAAACCGCGAACGGCUCAUUACAAUGGCCAUGAUUUACUUGAUCUUGAUA
rnacentral:ncRNA from 1 species